GCCUCCAUACCCUGACGGCACCAGAUUAUGUCUGGUCUUGGAAGCUAAGCAGGGUCAGCCCUGGUGAGUAUUUGGAUGGGAGACCACCAAUGAAUCCCAGGUGCUGGAGGCU
rnacentral:rRNA from 1 species